GACGAACCGUGCGAACGUUGUUCGGAAUCACUGGGCUUAAAGGGCGCGUAGGCGGGCUAUCAAGUCCGGGGUGAAAUCCUCCAGCUUAACUGGAGAACUGCCUCGGAUACUGAUGGUCUCGAGGAGGAUAGGGGCACACGGAACUGUGGGUGGAGCGGUGAAAUGCGUUGAUAUCCAUAGGAACUCCGGUGGCGAAAGCGGUGUGCUGGAUCCUUUCUGACGCUGAGGCGCGAAAGCCAGGGGAGCAAACGGG
rnacentral:rRNA from 1 species